ACGAUGGAUAGGGGUUCUGAGAGGAAGGUCCCCCACAUUGGAACUGAGACACGGUCCAAACUCCUACGGGAGGCAGCAGUGAGGAAUAUUGGUCAAUGGGCGAUGGCCUGAACCAGCCAAGUAGCGUGAAGGAUGACUGCCCUAUGGGUUGUAAACUUCUUUUAUAAAGGAAUAAAGUCGGGUAUGCAUACCCGUUUGCAUGUACUUUAUGAAUAAGGAUCGGCUAACUCCGUGCCAGCAGCCGCGGUAAUACGGAGGAUCCGAGCGUUAUCCGGAUUUAUUGGGUUUAAAGGGAGCGUAGAUGGAUGUUUAAGUCAGUUGUGAAAGUUUGCGGCUCAACCGUAAAAUUGCAGUUGAUACUGGAUGUCUUGAGUGCAGUUGAGGCAGGCGGAAUUCGUGGUGUAGCGGUGAAAUGCUUAGAUAUCACGAAGAACUCCGAUUGCGAAGGCAGCCUGCUAAGCUGCAACUGACAUUGAGGCUCGAAAGUGUGGGUAUCAAACAGGAUUAGAUACCCUGGUAGUCCACACGGUAAACGAUGAAUACUCGCUGUUUGCGAUAUACGGCAAGCG
rnacentral:rRNA from 1 species